rnacentral:rRNA from 1 species
AGCGAACGCUAGCGGCAGGCUUAACACAUGCAAGUCGAGCGCCAGGUUUCGGCCUGGAGCGGCGAACGGGUGAGUAACACGUAGGUCACGUACCCUAUGGUGGGGAAUACCCCGGGGAAACUCGGAUCAAUGCCCCAUAUGUCCGAAAGGAUGAAAGCGCUUCGGCGCGCCAGAGGAUCGGCCUGCGGCCCAUUAUUUAAUCCUAGUUGGUGAGGUAACGGCUCACCAAGGGUACGAUGGGUAGCUGGCCUGAGAGGACGAUCAGCCACACUGGAACUGAGACACGGUCCAGACUCCUACGGGAGGCAGCAGUGGGGAAUAUUGGACAAUGGGCGAAAGCCUGAUCCAGCCAUGCCGCGUGAGUGAUGAAGGCCUUCGGGUUGUAAAGCUCUGUCGUGGGGGAAGAAGUUCUGACGGUACCCCACAAGAAAGCACCGGCUAACUCCGUGCCAGCAGCCGCGGUAACAC